AUUGAACGCUGGCGGCAUGCUUUACACAUGCAAGUCGAACGGUAACAGGGAGCUUGCUCCGCUGACGAGUGGCGAACGGGUGAGUAAUGCGUCGGAACGUGCCGAGUAGUGGGGGAUAACGCAGCGAAAGUUGUGCUAAUACCGCAUACGUACUGAGGUAGAAAGUGGGGGACCCUCGGGCCUCACGCUAUUCGAGCGGCCGACGUCUGAUUAGCUAGUAGGUGAGGUAAAGGCUCACCUAGGCGACGAUCAGUAGCGGGUCUGAGAGGAUGAUCCGCCACACUGGGACUGAGAAACGGCCCAGACUCCUACGGGAGGCAGCAGUGGGGAAUUUUGGACAAUGGGCGAAAGCCUGAUCCAGCCAUGCCGCGUGUCUGAAGAAGGCCUUCGGGUUGUAAACUGCUUUUGUACGGAACGAAAAGACUCUGGUUAAUACCUGGGGUCCAUGACGGUACCGUAAGAAUAAGCACCGGCUAACUACGUGCCAGCCGCCGCCGUAA
rnacentral:rRNA from 1 species